rnacentral:rRNA from 1 species
AUACGGAGGGGGCUAGCGUUGUUCGGAAUUACUGGGCGUAAAGCGCGCGUAGGCGGAUCGUUAAGUCAGGGGUGAAAGCCCGGAGCUCAACUCCGGAACUGCCCUUGAUACUGGCGAUCUCGAGUCCGGGAGAGGUGAGCGGAAUUCCUAGUGUAGAGGUGAAAUUCGUAGAUAUUAGGAAGAACACCAGUGGCGAAGGCGGCUCACUGGCUCGGUACUGACGCUGAGGUGCGAAAGCGUGGGGAGCAAACAGGAUUAGAAACCCUAGUAGUCC